UACGAAGGGGGCUAGCGUUGCUCGGAAUCACUGGGCGUAAAGCGCACGUAGGCGGAUUGUUAAGUCAGGGGUGAAAUCCUGGAGCUCAACUCCAGAACUGCCUUUGAUACUGGCGAUCUCGAGUCCGGGAGAGGUGAGUGGAACUGCGAGUGUAGAGGUGAAAUUCGUAGAUAUUCGCAAGAACACCAGUGGCGAAGGCGGCUCACUGGACAGGUAUUGACGCUGAGGUGCGAAAGCGUGGGGAGCAAACAGG
rnacentral:rRNA from 1 species